rnacentral:rRNA from 1 species
UAUGGAGAGUUUGAUCCUGGCUCAGGACGAACGCUGGCGGCGUGCCUUACACAUGCAAGUCGUGCGAGAACGGUUCCUUCGGGAACCUAGUAGAGCGGCGAACGGGUGAGUAAUACGUGAGCGAUCUGCCCGAAGGUGGGGGAUACCCCAGGGAAACCUGGACCAAUACCGCGUACAGCGUCGGGAGUGGAUGCCCGACGUGAAAGCCGGCCUCUUCGAUGCUGGCGCCCUCGGAUGAGCUCGCGGCCUAUCAGCUUGUUGGUGGGGUAACGGCCUACCAAGGCUAUGACGGGUAGCUGACGUGAGAGCGUGAUCAGCCACAUUGGGACUGAGACACGGCCCAGACUCCUACGGGAGGCAGCAGUGGGGAAUAUUGC